rnacentral:rRNA from 1 species
UGUGUGUUAGUGGAAGCGUCUGGAAAGGCGCGCGAUACAGGGUGACAGCCCCGUACACAAAAAUGCACAUGCUGUGAGCUCGAUGAGUAGGGCGGGACACGUGGUAUCCUGUCUGAAUAUGGGGGGACCAUCCUCCAAGGCUAAAUACUCCUGACUGACCGAUAGUGAACCAGUACCGUGAGGGAAAGGCGAAAAGAACCCCGGCGAGGGGAGUGAAAAAGAACCUGAAACCGUGUACGUACAAGCAGUGGGAGCACGCUUCGGCGUGUGACUGCGUACCUUUUGUAUAAUGGGUCAGCGACUUAUAUUCUGUAGCAAGGUUAACCGAAUAGGGGAGCCGAAGGGAAACCGAGUCUUAACUGGGCGUUAAGUUGCAGGGUAUAGACCCGAAACCCGGUGAUCUAGCCAUGGGCAGGUUGAAGGUUGGGUAACACUAACUGGAGGACCGAACCGACUAAUGUUGAAAAAUUAGCGGAUGACUUGUGGCUGGGGGUGAAAGGCCAAUCAAACCGGGAGAUAGCUGGUUCUCCCCGAAAGCUAUUUAGGUAGCGCCUCGUGAAUUCAUCUCCGGGGGUAGAGCACUGUUUCGGCAAGGGGGUCAUCCCGACUUACCAACCCGAUGCAAACUGCGAAUACCGGAGAAUGUUAUCACGGGAGACACACGGCGGGUGCUAACGUCCGUCGUGAAGAGGGAAACAACCCAGACCGCCAGCUAAGGUCCCAAAGUCAUGGUUAAGUGGGAAACGAUGUGGGAAGGCCCAGACAGCCAGGAUGUUGGCUUAGAAGCAGCCAUCAUUUAAAGAAAGCGUAAUAGCUCACUGGUCGAGUCGGCCUGCGCGGAAGAUGUAACGGGGCUAAA